AUGAAGCUUCAUUCACUUAUUCUUCUCUGCACCUCAGCUGCUGCUGUCUUUGGAAAAGUCAUCAAACCAAUCAACACAGAUGUUUUUGCUGAGGAAGGAUCAAAUGUGACAUUAUCCUGUAGUUUUAAAGCCUCUGGAGGUACAGAUUAUCUCCACUGGUACCGUCAGUAUGGAGGAUCAAAACCCGAAUUUCUUGUUCUGACCUACAGUAGUGCAAAAAUAGCUAAGGAGUCUGCUAUAGAUCCUAGAUUCAAUGCUAAUGUCUCAAAAACUGAACAUGUGGAUCUGCUGCUCUCCUCUGCUGCAGUAUCAGACUCAGCCGUGUAUUACUGUGCAAUGGAGCCCACAGUGACAGGAAACUCAACAACACUGCACAAAAACCUUAGAAAAAAUUAA